AGUGAACGCUGGCGGUAGGCCUAACACAUGCAAGUCGAACGGCAGCACAGUAAGAGCUUGCUCUUACGGGUGGCGAGUGGCGGACGGGUGAGGAAUACAUCGGAAUCUACUUUUUCGUGGGGGAUAACGUAGGGAAACUUACGCUAAUACCGCAUACGACCUACGGGUGAAAGCAGGGGAUCUUCGGACCUUGCGCGAUUGAAUGAGCCGAUGUCGGAUUAGCUAGUUGGCGGGGUAAAGGCCCACCAAGGCGACGAUCCGUAGCUGGUCUGAGAGGAUGAUCAGACACACUGGAACUGAGACACGGUCCAGACUACUACGGGAGGCAGCAGUGGGGAAUAUUGGACAAUGGGCGCAAGCCUGAUCCAGACAUACCGCGUGGGUGAAGAAGGCCUUCGGGUUGUAAAGCCCUUUUGUUGGGAAAGAAAAGCAGCAGGUUAAUACCCCGCUGUUCUGACGGUACCCAAAGAAUAAGCACCGGCUAACUUCGUG
rnacentral:rRNA from 1 species